ensembl:lncRNA LINC02050 long intergenic non-protein coding RNA 2050
GGCACAGCUGCUUGUGUGUUCUUCCGCCAAUGUGUGCAACUGCUUGUGUGUUCUUCCGCCAAUGUGUUCCUCUCGACGUCCAGCCACUUCUGUGCCUGCCUGCCUGUCUUGGGGUUUUUACAGGCACAGGAUAGGGGACGUGGCAGGCCAGGUGGUCUUGGAAAAUGCAAACUUGGGCAUGAAAACAGGAGCGCUUGUCCUCCCCUAUAUGCGUGUGCACAGGACCUGAGGUGAAGCCCUAGCCAGGGACCUGCCCUUCUCUACCCAGCGCUUUCCUUCUCUCAUCCCGAGUCAGUACUCAUCAUGGAUGGAGAUGGAGCCCAUUAUUUGAAGCAAACUAACACAGGAACAGCAAAGCAAAUACCAUAUAUUCUCACUUAUAAAUGGCAGCUGAACAACGAGGACACAUGGACACAAACAGCAGAACAACAGACACCAGGAGCUACUUGAAGGCUGGGUCAUUGGCCUUAUCCCGCACCGAAGUUGAAACUUACACCAUCUGUUCACAUCAUCAGUUCUUCUGGUUCUCAUGCUUUUGAACUUCAACUGGCACAAUUCCACUGGCUCUCCUUAGUCUCCAGGUUGCAGAUGGCAGAUUAUAAAUCUCCUUAGCCUCCACCUUUAUAAUCCUAACUAUUACUGACACCUCUUUGAGGACAAAGGAAGUAGCUUUCUGCAAGCCAAAAAGACCUCAGAAAAACAACAAAUCUUCCAAACUCUUGAUUUUGACUUUUUGCCUCCAGAAUUGUGAAGAAAUAAAUAUCUGUUAUUUAA